UAGAGAAAUGGUAGAGGGAGAGUAGGAGAUGGUAGAGAAAUGGUAGAGGGAGAGUAGGAGAUGGUAGAGAAAUGGUAGAGGGAGAGUAGGAGAUGGUAGAGGGAAUAUAGGCUUGAAAGACGGUCAGCCCUGAAAGUCAGUGCUUUGUGUGUUUGUAUUUCUAUGCUAAACGACAACCUUGCCUUGUCAACCACAAUCUGUUCAGGUCAGUCAGCGUGAGGAUUACGACAAUGUUAAUUACAGUCAAAUAAUCCAUAUCAACAGAAAAUUUGCCCUUCAAUUUGGAUUUGAAAAGUUCAGCUCCAUCUCCAGCAUGCUCAUUUGUGACUCUGAAAGAAAGGAAGGCAGGUCCUCCCUUUAUAAAGUUCUGUUUCAGACACUUCCUCUAAUGUAUGCCGUAUCAACAUGAUAAAUACAAAGACCGAAAAAGUAGCUUGCAAUUACAGAUAGGACUAUUUGGAGCCAGGUGUGUGUGUGUGUCCAGCACUGCACUGUACAAACCUCUGUACCUGGACCAGUAAGGUUAUAUAUCAACAAGACCAUAACCUUGCAGNNNNNNNNNNNNNNNNNNNNNNNNNNNCAGCUGUCUAACACUAGAAGAACACUGAGUGUUUAAAAUGCUUCCAUUAUACUGCAGCAGUAGCUAUGCACUGAGCAUCAUACAGCUGUCUAACACUAGAAGAACUCUGAGUGUUUAAAAUGCUUCCAUUAUACUGCAGCAGUAGCUAUGCACUGAGCAUCAUACAGCUGUCUAACACUAGAAGAACUCUGAGUGUUUAAAAUGCUUCCAUUAUACUGCAGCAGUAGCUAUGCACUGAGCAUCACACAGCUGUCUAACACUAGAAGAACUCUGAGUGUUUAAAAUGCUUCCAUUAUACUGCAGCAGUAGCUAUGCACUGAGCAUCAUACAGCUGUCUAACACUAGAAGAACUCUGAGUGUUUAAAACGCUUCCAUUAUACUGCAGUAGUAGCUAUGCACUGAGCAUCAUACAGCUGUCUAACACUAGAA
rnacentral:lncRNA from 13 species